UUCCCAGAAGUUGUUCAUCUUCAGUUCACAGAAAGCGAGGAGGAUACGUUCUUUGUACAUCAUUUCUCAUUUCAUUAAGCUACAAUCUGCAGGUCCUAGCUGACAACGUCUCGGAUAUAGGACAAUUUAUUCUCAGGGACGUGGCGGAUAUGGAACCUCUGAUGAUUCUCCUUCUGCUAGCAGCUGUUUCUACAUCAACCUCAGAUGCUCCCACAACAACCCCAGCAGGUCUCACAACAACCACAGCAGGUCUCACAACAACCACAGCCAUCCCCACAAUAUCCACGACUGCUGCAACAUCAACAAUCAUCCCCACAACAACCACAGAUGCUCUUACAACAACCACAGCCAUCCCCACAACAACUACAGCCAUCCCCACAACAACCCAAGCU